rnacentral:rRNA from 1 species
UACGGAGGGUGCGAGCGUUGUCCGGAAUCAUUGGGCGUAAAGGGCGCGUAGGUGGCGGGACAAGCGUGCGGUGAAAGCUCGGGGCUCAACCCCGAGUCGGCCGUGCGAACUGUCUUGCUUGAGCACUGUAGAGGCAGGCGGAAUUCCGGGUGUAGCGGUGGAAUGCGUAGAGAUCCGGAAGAACACCGGUGGCGAAGGCGGUCUCCUGGGCC